CCUGCUGUCAGCACCCUGCCGUGCCGUCUACAUCUUCUCGAAGAAGCAUGACAUCCAGUUCAACUUUCAGUUUGUGGAUCUGCUGAAAGGUCACCACCACAGCAAAGGAUACAUUGACAUCAACCCCCUCAGGAAGCUGCCCAGCCUCAAAGAUGGGAAAUUUAUCUUAAGUGAAAGCGCGGCCAUCCUUUACUACCUGUGCCGCAAGUACAGCGCACCAUCGCACUGGUGCCCGCCAGACCCGCACGCACGUGCCCGUGUGGAUGAGUUCGUGGCUUGGCAAC
rnacentral:lncRNA from 1 species